rnacentral:rRNA from 1 species
UACGGAAGGCAGCAGUGGGGAAUAUUGCACAAUGGGCGCAAGCCUGAUGCAGCCAUGCCGCGUGUAUGAAAAAGGCCUUCGGGUUGUAAAGUACUUUCAGUCGUGAGGAAGGUGUUAAGGUUAAUAACCUUAGCAAUUGACGUUAGCGACAGAAGAAGCACCGGCUAACUCCGUGCCAGCAGCCGCGGUAAUACGGAGGGUGCGAGCGUUAAUCGGAAUUACUGGGCGUAAAGGGCACGCAGGCGGUUAAUUAAGUUGGAUGUGAAAUCCCCGGGCUUAACCUGGGAAUGGCAUUCAAGACUGGUUAGCUAGAGUCUUGUAGAGGGGGUAGAAUUCCAUGUGUAGCGGUGAAAUGCGUAGAGAUGUGGAGGAAUACCGGUGGCGAAGGCGGCCCCUGGACAAAGACUGACGCUCAUGCGCGAAAGCGUGGGGAGCGAAACAGGGAUUAGAUACC